rnacentral:tRNA from 1 species
GGAGAGAUGGCUGAGCGGCUGAAAGCGCACGAUUGGAAAUCGUGUAGGUGGUCUAUAAACUGCCUCGAGGGUUCGAACCCCUCUCUCUCCGCCA